UCGGAUGCUGACGAGUGGCGAACGGGUGAGUAAUACAUCGGAACGUGCCUAGUAGUGGGGGAUAACUACUCGAAAGAGUGGCUAAUACCGCAUGAGAUCUACGGAUGAAAGCAGGGGAUCGCAAGACCUUGUGCUACUAGAGCGGCCGAUGGCAGAUUAGGUAGUUGGUGGGAUAAAAGCUUACCAAGCCGACGAUCUGUAGCUGGUCUGAGAGGACGAUCAGCCACACUGGGACUGAGACACGGCCCAGACUCCUACGGGAGGCAGCAGUGGGGAAUUUUGGACAAUGGGCGCAAGCCUGAUCCAGCAAUGCCGCGUGCAGGAUGAAGGCCUUCGGGUUGUAAACUGCUUUUGUACGGAACGAAAAGCCCUGGGUUAAUACCCUGGGGUCAUGACGGUACCGUAAGAAUAAGCACCGGCUAACUACGUGCCAGCAGCCGCGGUAAUACGUAGGGUGCGAGCGUUAAUCGGAAUUACUGGGCGUAAAGCGUGCGCAGGCGGUUUUGUAAGGCAGAGGUGAAAUCCCCGGGGCUCAACCUGGGAACUGCCUUUGUGACUGCAAGGCUAGAGUACGGCAGAGGGGGAUGGAUUCCGCGUGUAGCAGUGAAAUGCGUAGAUAUG
rnacentral:rRNA from 1 species